rnacentral:tRNA from 1 species
GAGGGUAUAGUUCAGUGGUAGAGCACAUGCUUAGCAUGCAGGAGGUCCUGGGUUCAGUCCCUGGUACCUCCA